UACGUAGGGUGCAAGCGUUAAUCGGAAUUACUGGGCGUAAAGGGCGCGUAGGCGGCCUGUUAAGUCGAACGUGAAAUCCCCGGGCUCAACCCGGGAACUGCGUCCGAUACUGGCAGGCUUGAAUUCGGGAGAGGGAUGUGGAAUUCCGGUGGUAGCGGUGAAAUGCGUAGAUAUCUGGAGGAACACCGGUGGCGAAGGCGGCAUCCUGGACCGAUAUUGACGCUGAUGCGCGAAAGCCAGGGGAGCA
rnacentral:rRNA from 1 species